rnacentral:lncRNA from 1 species
AAUCAGGCUCUCACAGGCUAUAAUCAAGUAAACAGGGUCCAACUGGUCUAACAACCAAAACUCACGUUCCCUCGGCACAAUCUGAUGCAAAACCUGCAAUCUGGGUCCACCGUCAACCCCGACGGCACCCGACAGUCCGAAACAGUCUAGACACUGCUGUAAAAAUAAGCUCGGCAUCUCCACACGAGUGUAACUGUAUUCUACACUAUCUCGGAAAUCUACCGCCAACAACUGCGGUGAUACAACUCAAUUACAGCUCCUAAGCUUUCAGUGUAUCAAAUGCGCACCAACAGCGUGGAUACAAAGCACAACAGCUUCAGAAGCUAUCUGAGUAUCAAAUACGCACUAACAGCGGGGAUACGAAGCACAACAGCUUCAGAAGCUAUCUGAGUAUCAAAUGCGCACUAAUAGCGUGGAUACGAAGCAAAACAGCUUCAUGAGCGAACAGAAAAGAUAGUGUAGAACCUACAGUUGAAUACUACCCAAGCUCGGCAUCUCGCACGAGCGUAAAUGCAUUCUAAACUACCAAGAAUAUCCACCACACUCAACCUGCGAUGAUACAAUCAACUACGGCUCCUAGAGCUAAAUCUGGUACUUUAAGUAUAUGUCGAUUAGAAUCGCGGGUUUUCUCCUAAGUCAAAUUCCAAGUCCAACAUGUGUAAAUUAAUAAUUCGUUUCAGCAUGCUUCAAAUUCAGAUUACAGCCAAGAUGCUAAUCGAUAAAUUUAAGCUAAACACAUGCUAUACUAUAGUCGAAAAUCAUACACAUCGACUAAACAUGCACUUAGGAGUAACACCGAUGAUUAACCCACCUCGAGUGCUAAUCCACGGCAACACGAGGUCACGAAGAUGAAGGAAACCUUGCUGGAACCAGCCGAAACCACCUAGGGACAGCAAUCAACCGACUUCAAGGAUCUGAACAUCAACAAUCCCAAAACUUGCAUUAUAAAUUCCAAAAUCAGCACUUAAGCUAAAAACCCUCAAUUAUAAUGCUAACUUCACCUUCCAAAUCUCAAAUCAA